rnacentral:rRNA from 1 species
CGGGUAGAGUAACACGUAAACAACCUGCCUUCAGGAUGGGGACAACAGACGGAAACGACUGCUAAUACCGAAUACGUUCCACGGGCCGCAUGACCUGUGGAAGAAAGGGUAGCCUCUACCUGUAAGCUAUCGCCUGAAGAGGGGUUUGCGUCUGAUUAGGCAGUUGGUGGGGUAACGGCCCACCAAACCAACGAUCAGUAGCCGGUCUGAGAGGAUGAACGGCCACACUGGAACUGAGACACGGUCCAG